CAUCUUCUAGUCCACCUCCUAGUUCACCUCCACCUGAAUCAACUAGUCCUCCACCUAGUUCACCACCACCUAAAUCUUCUAGUCCACCACCAGCAUCACCUCCACCUGCACCAACUCCUCCUCCUCCUGUCAGUUCACCUCCACCAACUUCAUCACCUCCCCCUGCAUUGUCACCUCCGCCACAUGUACAGAAUCCAGAACCUCCUCCAGCACCACAAUCACAUGGAAAUUCAUCCCCACCACAAUCUCCUGAACCUAAAAAAGGUUCAUCAUCAUCUUCACCACCUUCACCACCUUCAUCCAACUCACCUGGGGAUGGAGGUAGAGGUGGAGAUACACCACCAUCCCCAACAUCUAAGUCAUCAGAAAAUUCGCCUCCUUCACCAGCCUUAGGCCCUUCUAAAGAUUCGCCACCUUCACCGGCUACAUUAUCUCCAAGUAACUCACCAUCUUCUGAUUCCCCCUCAAACUCAUCAACACCAACAUCUGUA
rnacentral:misc_RNA from 1 species